GUAGCAGGCUGCUUGAGCCAAAGAGCACCUGCAUUGCAUGCAGGGGGUCAGGAGUUCGAGUCUCCUUGGCUCCA
rnacentral:tRNA from 1 species